rnacentral:rRNA from 1 species
ACUUUCAACAACGGAUCUUUUGGCUCUGGCAUCGAUGAAGAACGCAGCGAAAUGCGAUAAGUAAUGUGAAUUGCAGAAUUCAGUGAAUCAUCGAAUCUUUGAACGCACAUUGCGCCCGCCAGUAUUCUGGCGGGCAUGCCUGUUCGAGCGUCAUUACA